rnacentral:rRNA from 1 species
GGACCCGCACAAGUAGUGGAGCAUGUGGUUUAAUUCGAAGAUACGCGCAGAACCUUACCAACACUUGACAUGUUCGUCGCGACUUUGAGAGAUCAAAGUUUUCGGUUCGGCCGGACGAAACACAGGUGCUGCAUGGCUGUCGUCAGCUCGUGUCGUGAGAUGUUGGGUUAAGUCCCGCAACGAGCGCAACCCUCACUUUUAGUUGCCAUCAUUUAGUUGGGCACUCUGAAAGAACUGCCAGUGAUAAGCUGGAGGAAGGUGGGGAUGACGUCAAGUCCUCAUGGCCCUUACGUGUUGGGCUACACACGUGCUACAAUGGUAUCUACAACAGGAAGCAAGAUGGCAACAUUUAGCAAAUCCUAAAAAGAUACCUCAGUUCGGAUUGCACUCUGCAACUCGAGUGCAUGAAGCUGGAAUUACUAGUAA